AUAUUUACCAGACAGAGGAGACACCUUGAUCGUGAAGGUCACUUUCCCAGGAUGAGGUUCAUCCAUUGCACUCUAGGUGGGCCAAUCCCUGUCAUUUCCCCAAAUACGUGAAACUGAACUGCAUAAUUUGUGUAC
rnacentral:snRNA from 1 species